GCGUAAGCGCGCGUAGGUGGUUUGAUAAGCGAGAUGUGAAAGCCCCGGGCUUACCUGGGGAACGGCAUUUCGAACUGUCAGGCUAGAGUAUGGUAGAGGAGUGUGGAAUUUCCUGUGUAGCGGUGAAAUGCGUAGAUAUAGGAAGGAACACCAGUGGCGAAGGCGGCACUCUGGACCAAUACUGACACUGAGGUGCGAAAGCGUGGGGAGCAAACAGGAUUUAGAUACCCUGGUAGUCCACGCUGUAAACGAUGUCUACUAGCCGUUGGGACUCUUGAAGUCUUAGUGGCGCAGCCAACGCACUAAGUAGACCGCCUGGGGAGUACGGCCGCAAGGUUAAAACUCAAAUGAAUUGACGGGGGCCCGCACAAGCGGUGGAGCAUGUGGUUUAAUUCGACGCAACGCGAAGAACCUUACCUGGCCUUGACAUGCUGAGAACUUUCCAGAGAUGGAUUGGUGCCUUCGGGAACUCAGACACAGGUGCUGCAUGGCCGUCGUCAGCUCGUGUCGUGAGAUGUUGGGUUAAGUCCCGUAACGAGCGCAACCCCUAUCCCUAGUUGCUUGCAGUUCGGCUGAGAACUCUAGGGAGACUGCCGGUGACAAACCGGAGGAAGGUGGGGAUGACGUCAGGUCAUCAUGGCCCUUACGGCCAGGGCUACACACGUGCUACAAUGGCGCGCACAGAGGGCUGCAAACCCGCGAGGGGGAGCUAAUCUCACAAAACGCGUCGUAGUCCGGAUCGGAGUCUGCAACUCGACUCCGUGAAGUCGGAAUCGCUAGUAAUCGUGAAUCAGAAUGUCACGGUGAAUACGUUCCCGGGCCUUGUACACACCGCCCGUCACACCAUGGGAGUGGAUUGCACCAGAAGUGGUUAGUCUAACCUUCGGGAGGACGAUCACCACGGUGUGGUUCAUGACUGGGGUGAAGUCGUAACAAGGUAGCCGUAAACGCNUCUGCCAGCAUGNGNANNCCU
rnacentral:rRNA from 1 species